GUUGAGAGGUGAGAGCACUUGACUCCUACACCCAGGUUCCUGGUUCGAAUCCC
rnacentral:tRNA from 1 species